AUGCCCAAACUUGUUACAUUCACACAUGUGAAAGAUUCAAAUGAAAUCUCAAGUUGUAGAAGAAAAAUUAUCCAAUCAUGUAGUACAAAAUUUAAUGAACUCAUUGGUCACAUAAACCACAAGUAUCAAAAUGAUGAAGCAGCAAAACAAUACUUAUCCAUCAGAAAUUUAAACCUCAAAGUUGUCUUCAAACUUCAUAUAAUAGCAACUUGA